AUGAAAUGACUCUCGGCAACGGAUAUCUAGGCUCUUGCAUCGAUGAAGAACGUAGCGAAAUGCGAUACUUGGUGUGAAUUGCAGAAUCCCGUGAACCAUCGAGUCUUUGAACGCAAGUUGCGCCUGAAGCCAUUAGGUUGAGGGCACGCCUGCCUGGGUGUCACAC
rnacentral:rRNA from 1 species